rnacentral:tRNA from 1 species
AUUUAUAUAGUUUAACUUAAAACAAUUCAUUUUCAAUGAAUAAAUGAAUUUCUAAUUCUAUAAAUA